AAAUAAACUUUAUCUCAAACAAAUAAUUAAAUUUUAAACGCAGAGCUAUAAGCGAUAAGCAGAGAGCUCGCAGCACCUAACUAUACUCAAUACUCAAAUAAUUUUUAAAAAGUUUAAAUCUACAAUGCAAUAAGUUACUACAGAAAUACCAGUUUUAAAAGUAGAAAAUCGUGUGAUCUGAAAAUAAAUGUUUAAUUCCGCAGAACUAGCAUGUCGUAGAAUUGGCAAUUUUUGUUUAAGGAUUCUUGAUGUUUUGUACAAUCGUCAUUUAUGAAUCUAUCUUAUUUAAAAAUUGAAAAACAUUUAAGAUAGUAUUAUUAUUUGACAUAUCAACUAUUGGUAGUUGAAAAAAUAUAUUUCAUGCUAUUUGCUACGAAGUCUGUACGACGAUAUAGUUGCUCAUGAUUAGAAGAAAAAAAAAACUAAGACAAGUUAUUGAAGUUUAUUUUCUUAAGAAAUUAGUUUCAGUAGAUUUAUAAAUUAAAAUAAAAACUCUGCACUUUUUUAUUAAAUUAUCCUAAUAAUUUAUAAUUGAAAACUGAUGUAAAUUUCUUAAAAUGCUUGAUAGAUUUAGGUCAAUACAAAUCAGUAGUAGGUUGGACAGUUCCUCCCUGAUUCUAAUUGCGCCAACUAUUAAUGAAAAGAUUUUUUCGUAUCUGUAAUUGUACUAAAAAAAAGAAGGGGAGAAAAAAGCUGUGCAGUGGCAUGUGAGAAACAACAAAAAAAUUAACAGAAAGGGACCAACGCCAAGGGUAACAUUUGUAGCCAUUAUAAAUGUAUUUUCAAAGAUUAUUUAUGAUUACAGGAAUUAAGAAGUUUAACUUGGUGAUUUUAGACGAAGCACGUUUGAAACAGAUACCAGUUAUGAAAAUGCCCUCCUCAACUCAAAGGUGCUAAAAUGCCACAGGCUAGUUCUUAUACUUGCAAAUAAUAUUUUGUUAAAAAAUACAUGGGUAAUAGUUUAAUAUUUGGUUGCUAUGAGUUUUAACUAGAAGAUUUCCACAUCGGGAUCUGUAGCAGAAUAAUCGUCAAGCCUUGGCAACAGCAACAAAAAAAAAAAAUACUAAAAGAACAUCAAAUCUGACUGAAAGUUGCCCACUGGUAAAUCUGUAUGUGCUUUUUUUUAAGAAAUAAAAAAAUAGCAAAUUUAAAAUCUAUUUAAUGUCUUAUCGAUUGUAGCUGGUGCGACAGAUUACGAUAGGGAAAUAUACGUUUUACCCUUCACAUUCAAUCCAUUACUGUAUAUUUAUUUUUUAGUUUCAAACGUGUCUCGCCAGGUUGUUGGCAGAAUUUAGAGGGCAUUUUUGCUAAGUUUAAAAUUUUCACUCAUAAAGUAUCUUCCUUUUAUAAAUAUCAUGAAUGAAAUUAUUAAGUUCUUACCAGAUUAAUUGAUAAGUUUUUAAUAUUAUUAAAACAAAAGAUAGUCAUUACUUGAUGAAUAAAUAAGUAAUUAAAGGUACAUAGCAUAGCAAUGUAUAAGGAUUCGUGAUAUUGUUAACUUUAUAAUUCUCUAUUUCAGAUAUUGAAGUACUUAGAAUAUCAUUCUAAAAAGAAAGCAUAAACUAUAUGAGGUUUCUUGGACACUUAUGACUCUUCCAUUCCAUAUAAUAAAAGAUCUAACUGGAGACGAUCUGAAGAUCCUAGUAAGAAAUAUAAAUGUACAUUAUGUAAAUACACCACCGAUAUGGCCAAAGAUCUUAAACGACAUUUUCUUACUCACACUCAAGAGAGACAAUUUGAGUGCACGGUCUGUGGUAAAAGGUUUAUUUUGGCUCAUCAUUUGAAGAAACACUUGAAAAGUGUGCAUUUUCAACUUGUUUAAUGUAUGUACUUAUCUAUAUAUUCCCUCUCAUGGUUUAUUUUAAUAAAAAGGAAUUCCACUUUAAUACUGAAUCAUCUUUUUAGAUUUGCUGAUUUUGAUUUAACUGUUUAUUUUUAUUUUGGUAUUUAGUUUUCAAAACCAACUUAAACCGCACUAAGAAGUUUUUGAGAAAAUCAUGUAGCAUGUUUCAUUUCACCAUGAACUAAAUAGACAUUUUUGAUAAUAACAAAAGAAGAACUGAUGGAGAUAUCUAAAUAAAUUUAAAGAAGCCUAACUCAGUUACGCAAUUUUCAAUAAAUUCUGAAGAAACAAAUACAAAAAAAAAAUUUUAAAAAUAAUUAGAAUUUUCAGUACUAAUAUUAUAUAUGUCCUACACUAUAGAUCAGAGGCAUAGUACUUCAAUAAAUGCAACAUGAAAAAUUUUAAGUAUUUAUUAACGCUAGUUUAAGAUGGGUAAAUCAGUUACGCAAUCAUCAAUCAGUUACGCAGAUAUCAAGUGGUUCCAUAAAAUUUGUAAAGCAAGAAUCCCUUAAACAGGAAAACAGAAACCAAUUGAUCUGGAUAUUAAAAGAUGUAAAUGGAAAUGAAUUGAUCAUGUUCUAUGUAAACCUUGGAAAUUUAAAGUAAAACAAAUUUUUAAUUGGAUCCCUCUAGGCUUUAGAAAAAGAGGAAGACCCAAAAAUACUUGGUGAAAAAGAUUAUAAAUGAAUUAAAAACAAUGGGCAAGACAUAGGUGGCAAAAUAUCUGGCCACAAAUAGAGUGAGAUGGAGAGCUAUGAUAGCUGCCCUAUGCUCCGAUUCAGAGCGAAGAGGAAUAUGUAUGUACAUGUUCAAAAUUGCUAGAAGUUAAAACUUUAAGUAUAGUAUUAAUUUUAAACAGUGUUUAGUGCACAAGGAGAUAUUACCGUGAAAUAAUUUUUAUUUGUAACUGAUUUUUGUAUUUAAAAUGGAUUAAGUUGGUUUUAAAAUUAAAUAAAUAAAUUUUAAGCACUUAUAUGUUUAUCUAAUCACUUAGUAAUGAUUAAUUAAAAAAUUAACUAUGACUAUUUUUAUAUUUAUUAAUUUCGCAAUAUUUUCAGAAAAACGGUUUUUUAAGACAUAUUAAGAGCUUAUUGAAUAGUUACUAAUUAUUGAUAUCUGAAUGCACAUUUAUGUAUAUUUCAAUGUAAAAAAAAAUUAGUAUAUAUCUGUUAAAAAAGGUAUUAUAUAUUUUUGUAUUUCUGAAAAGAAAAUGAUUUGAAAUUAUUAAAGCUUAUUUAUGAUUUUCUGUUGCACGAAGUACAUUAAAUGCACAAUAAAUUUUCAGUUGUAAUUUUAAUUCUACAUAUUUGAAUGUUCAGAAUGGAUAAAAAAGCAUAUAUUUUAGAGCAAAUAAUACUUUAAAAAUGUAAAAGUCUUGUCAUAUUUGUCAUAAAUAUUUAUUUAUAAUCUUUUUUUUUUUCAUUUCAUUGUAAAAAAGUUCACAGUAACAUAUUACAUAAAACAAUUUAAAGAAAUUUUUUUAAGAAUGGAAAUAUUGAAAAAAUAUAUUUUAAGUGAUAUUAUGAAGAAAAAGAGUUAAUUCUGUAAUAAUUUUACUCGGAAAAACUGUAUUUUCUCUAAGGUCACGAUGUUGAAGUAUUCUACUUUUUUAUUGAAUAGAAUUUGCUCAGAUUUUUUAUUUUUCUAAAUUUAGAUUUAAUGUAAAAGAUAAUUUCUGUCAUUUUAAUCAUCCCGAAAUUUUAUUGACUACAUUUUCUACUGCAUAUGGAAAUGAAACAUAUACAAAAUAAAAUUGAAAAAAAAAAACUAUUUGAAAAUUGAAAAAUGCAUAUAAAUGAAAAUUUUUUUUAGUUACUUUCAUUUUUUAUAAAAUUGUACAUCAAGAUAUAAAUAAUGUCUCUUUUUUUCUUUUUUUUUUUAUACGUGGUUCUAUUUGAAACUUGGGAAAAUUUCUUACAGAAUUGCAGCUAUCACUUGAAUGAAUCAAUUCUAACAAUGCAACUGGACGGUUAUAUAAUAAAUCGGAGAACAAACGUUAAGCGAUCAGAGGAUCCUAGCAAAAGAUAUAAAUGCACUUAUUGUAAAUAUACCACUGAUAUAGCUAAAGACCUAAAAAAACAUGUUCUUACUCAUACACAAUUAAGGAAGUAUUGCUGUACAAUAUGUCAUAAGAUGUUUUUAUUGUCUCAUCAUCUUAAAAAACACUUAAGAAAUGUUCAUUCCCAACCAUUGUGAUUGCCUAUUGAAUAUUGAUUUAAUCAUAGAACCCAAACUCAGCUUGGAGGACCUAGUUGCUUUCCCUUUCAUUAUGUUGUACUCACUAACAUUUUACUCCAUUCAUUCUUGCAACUCAUUUAUUCACUUAUGUUUUAUUCUAUGUAAAACAAAACUCAGCAUGAAAGCUUGAUAGUUAAAACAGUUUUAUUAUAUGUAUUUUUAUUGGUUUAGUUGUUAAUAAAUGUUUUUGUAUUUA